rnacentral:rRNA from 1 species
UACGUAGGGACCGAGCGUUGUCCGGAUUCAUUGGGCGUAAAGAGCUCGUAGGCGGCGGUUCAAGUCGAACGUGAAAACUCGGGGCUCAACUCCGAGCCUGCGUUCGAUACUGGAUGGCUAGAGUCUGGUAGGGGGAGUCUGGAAUUCCUGGGUGUAGCGGUGGAAUGCGCAGAUAUCAGGAGGAACACCGGUGGCGAAGGCGGGUCUCUGGGCCGAUACUGACGCUGAGGAGCGAAAGCGUGGGGAGCGAACAGG